rnacentral:lncRNA from 1 species
GGGCCAGGGGGCAUUGCUUAUAUAGUCUAUUCAGAUGAAUCUGGGCCGUCGGAUCAAACCGACAUUAAUCGCACGGUUUUCCUUGAUCCCAUAGGUUGGUGGAGCACGAUCCGCAAAAAGGACUCUGAUUGGCCACUGUAGCAGGGCGGGCGCCCAGGGGGGUAGCGCGAGCACCCUGCCUCUGAGCCCGAUUGCCUUCCCGUUCGUUCCUGUGGCUCCUGGAGUCUUCUAGAUGGUAGAAAAUUGCGCGGCACGUUAAUAUCUCUAUGUAAUCCUGACAUGUGGGCCUUUCUUUCGUAUUUCCUGAUAACCCCCUGCAGAAAUAGACAAACACCAAAACUCAUGGAAUUCUAUCAGUUAAAACCCUAAUUUUGGAUGUUGGUUGCAUAUAGGUCCUUUUCCAUGAUUAGUUGACGGUUAAAUGUGAGCAUUAAGGACCGUCAACAAGCUCCCCCAACCUUAACCUUUGCUCAUCCCUGAGCAAAGCUAAAAUCAGCAAGAAAAUACGGGUUACUUGUAUGCCUCUUACUACAGAGUUUUUAAGUUAUCACUAAGGUCUUAAGUGAUUGAAAAACAGAACGAUCAAGUCAAGCACUAUGUCUCAAGUUCUUAUGUCUUACCUUUGUUCUGGAGUUUUUUUUAAGUUUCCAAAAUAAAACUGAGGCAUUUACCUUCUUCUCGAUAGAUAUAUAAGUAGAGCUUUAAAAGUUUUAGCAUACUUACUUUGCAUUUUGCUAUGUCAAUGCUCGGAGCAAGGGAGAGGAAUGUCAUACUCCUAAAUCAAGACCUUUGACCUUUUUGAAAAGUUUGUCAUCUCUUACUGGCACAUUGCUUAUUAGAGGGACCAUGGGCUACCAUUUUUUUCUUUCUUUUUCAAGUGGGCACCAAGUACCCCUAAUUCUACUAUCGGACACGUGUCCAUUUUUUUCCAUUCAGGUGGGUAUCUUUGUACCCCUAAUUCUACUUCAGACACUUGUCCAUUUUUACCUCUCGUCUCACUCUCUUUUUUUUCGAAUUAAUUUUUUGCAUAGUCCCAUGCCUCUAACGCAAUAAUACUUCGGAAGAGUGAAUCUUUUAUAUGUUUAAAACAAAAAGAUCUUGAUCUUUGGAGCAUGAUAAUUCUCUCAACCAAAACUACAAGAAUUAACAAUGGCUUGAACAAAGCAAGUGCCCACAGUUUUAAUAUUUAUAUAUAAGACUCUAGGUAUUAUGUCAAACAGGAUCUCAUUUUUUUAGAUUUUCAAAAGAUAAAAUAUCCAGAACUCUAGCAAAACUUGGAACAAGUUAAAUAGUAGCUCAGACCUUCUCAUAUCAUGUUUGUCAAUUACCUAGACUUGGAUCAAACUUUCUUUUUAUUUUAUUUGAAACUUAGGAUUACACAAAACUAUUGUAUAUUACUCAAAAGAAAAACUUUGUUUGGUUUCAUGGUUAUGCAUUUUUAUUUAUUUCCAAAUACUAGUAAAUAAAACCAAGAAAGAAAAGUAAUACUUAUCUAGAUACACGUGUGGGUGCCUCCCCCCAAGCUGGAUGUUGACAUAGUCGUUCACUCUUGUGGCCUGCACGUUCGAUCUCACUAUUCUUAAGCCUCAAAAUCCUGCACAACACAAAUAGACAACAAAACUCGUGGAGUAUGUUAAGGAUUAGGUAAUUGUCUAGUGCUUAUGAGAGCUUAAUGUGAGAAUUCUAUGAACUCAAUCACAUCAAGUUCCUCUACCAGGUUGUUUUGUGGCUCGAGAUAGAUUUUCAAGCGUUGACCAUUUACCUUAAAAGUGUUACCUAUGUCGUCUUGGAUGGUAAUGGCUCCAUGAGUUGAAGUGUCAAUAACCUUGUAUGGUACAUCCCACUUACUUCGUAGCUUACCAUGCCCAAAGAGCUUAACUCUUGAAUUGAAUAGUAGAACCUUAUCUCCAGGCUUAAACUCCUUGUGCUUGAUUCUCUUAUCAUGCCAUCGUUUUGUUCUCUCUUUAUAGAUCCUUG